GUAGUGAGGAAGGGGGUUACUCUAUUCACGAUCUGGCUUAGCCUGGAGUCCAGAGUCCAGGCCCUGGACUGUUAGUCAGUUGUUCUCUAAGAGUUGUGCGUAUAAGAGCUUUUGUAAGAAGUCAGUGAUUGUGUGUCAAAUUUUGUUUCAAAAAAUAAAUUCCGUGGUAACAGCAGAAGGAGACGUAAAAAAAUUUUAUUUGUCAGAACGACGUAAAGAAAACUAAACUGAAGAAAAACUUCAACAGACUAUAGAUAGUCAGCGUACCAAAUUUCCUCCAGUUUCGAAACUAGUUUCUGGCACUGAAGAAAGUGAUGUGGAUAUGAUCAAAAAUAACCGUGAAAAAAAAAAACGGAAAGUGGCGAUAAUUCUAUCCAAUCUGUCCUUCAAGAGAAAUUAGCCUUAAAAGAAAAAGAAUUUAUCCAUUUCUUAUAUAGCUCUGAAGUCCUUUCAAUAGUUAUUUGCAGAUAAAAAUAUAUAGAAUUAUCUGUAUUACUGUAUGGAAUGUUCUUGUAGAGGCUCACAGCUACACCUGGAUGUAUCCAAAUAUGUAACAUUAAACCUGGAAUAAAAAUUUGGUAUGGAUA